CUAACAAGGAUAACUCAACACAUGAAAUGUAGAGGACAACAGAUUUGUGGCCCCAGCAUAUGUUCAAGUAAACUCAUGAUAAAAUGAAAAAUAAAAGUGUGAAUGUUUUUCAUAUGUGUGAGCUAUGGAAGUGCUAGCUAUGAAUAUUUAGAAAUGGAGGAAAAACACAAGAAACAGUGAGCUUCACUGCACUGAAGAGCAAGCAUUCAAGUAUUUUGGGAGUGCAGUAAUGGACAUGUGUGAAGAAAUGGAAUUACCAUAUUUGAACAUGGAUUCCAAGCAGCACAAGACAAGAAGGAAGGAAAAGAACUAAAGAACCAAAGGAACUUUUUCAAUGUGAACAGAAUCACAGAAAAGACUUGAUGAUGUCUGUGGGAUUUGGACCAGGUGAUUGAAAAGCAAAAUGGUUAUAAAGAAUCUAUGUGUCUAUUUUUUUUUUUUUUUUUAAUACAGUAUUUAUGUUUUAGACAUAUAUAAACCCGAGAAUUUGCUUGUACUGAAUACCUG
rnacentral:lncRNA from 1 species